rnacentral:rRNA from 1 species
GUUAAGCGACUAAGCGUACACGGUGGAUGCCCUGGCAGUCAGAGGCGAUGAAGGACGUGCUAAUCUGCGAUAAGCGUCGGUAAGGUGAUAUGAACCGUUAUAACCGGCGAUUUCCGAAUGGGGAAACCCAGUGUGUUUCGACACACUAUCAUUAACUGAAUCCAUAGGUUAAUGAGGCGAACCGGGGGAACUGAAACAUCUAAGUACCCCGAGGAAAAGAAAUCAACCGAGAUUCCCCCAGUAGCGGCGAGCGAACGGGGAGCAGCCCAGAGCCUGAAUCAGUGUGUGUGUUAGUGGAAGCGUCUGGAAAGGCGCGCGAUACAGGGUGACAGCCCCGUACACAAAAAUGCACAUGCUGUGAGCUCGAUGAGUAGGGCGGGACACGUGGUAUCCUGUCUGAAUAUGGGGGGACCAUCCUCCAAGGCUAAAUACUCCUGACUGACCGAUAGUGAACCAGUACCGUGAGGGAAAGGCGAAAAGAACCCCGGCGAGGGGAGUGAAAAAGAACCUGAAACCGUGUACGUACAAGCAGUGGGAGCACGCUUAGGCGUGUGACUGCGUACCUUUUGUAUAAUGGGUCAGCGACUUAUAUUCUGUAGCAAGGUUAACCGAAUAGGGGAGCCGAAGGGAAACCGAGUCUUAACUGGGCGUUAAGUUGCAGGGUAUAGACCCGAAACCCGGUGAUCUAGCCAUGGGCAGGUUGAAGGUUGGGUAACACUAACUGGAGGACCGAACCGACUAAUGUUGAAAAAUUAGCGGAUGACUUGUGGCUGGGGGUGAAAGGCCAAUCAAACCGGGAGAUAGCUGGUUCUCCCCGAAAGCUAUUUAGGUAGCGCCUCGUGAAUUCAUCUCCGGGGGUAGAGCACUGUUUCGGCAAGGGGGUCAUCCCGACUUACCAACCCGAUGCAAACUGCGAAUACCGGAGAAUGUUAUCACGGGAGACACACGGCGGGUGCUAACGUCCGUCGUGAAGAGGGAAACAACCCAGACCGCCAGCUAAGGUCCCAAAGUCAUGGUUAAGUGGGAAACGAUGUGGGAAGGCCCAGACAGCCAGGAUGUUGGCUUAGAAGCAGCCAUCAUUUAAAGAAAGCGUAAUAGCUCACUGGUCGAGUCGGCCUGCGCGGAAGAUGUAACGGGGCUAAACCAUGCACCGAAGCUGCGGCAGCGACGCUUAUGCGUUGUUGGGUAGGGGAGCGUUCUGUAAGCCUGUGAAGGUGUGCUGUGAGGCAUGCUGGAGGUAUCAGAAGUGCGAAUGCUGACAUAAGUAACGAUAAAGCGGGUG